rnacentral:rRNA from 1 species
UACGGGGGGGGCAAGCGUUGUUCGGAAUUACUGGGCGUAAAGGGCUCGUAGGCGGCCAACUAAGUCAGACGUGAAAUCCCUCGGCUUAACCGGGGAACUGCGUCUGAUACUGGAUGGCUUGAGAUUGGGAGAGGGAUGCGGAAUUCCAGGUGUAGCGGUGAAAUGCGCAGAUAUCAGGAGGAACACCGGUGGCGAAGGCGGGUCUCUGGGCAUUAACUGACGCUGAGGAGCGAAAGCAUGGGGAGCGAACAGG